UUUUACUUUACUCUUUAGAUUAUCUGUGGUGUUUCUCAUCAUCUGCAGUGGCUUUCUAUUCUCUGUGAAAAUCCUAAAAUUAUAAGAAGAUCUGUUAAAUUCCUCCAACUUCUAUUUCGAUGACAAAAAUGGUUCUACAGAUUAUCUGUGGUGUUUCUCAUCAUCUGCAGUGGCUUUCUAUUCUCUGUGAAAAUCCUAAAAUUAUAAGAAGAUCUGUUAAAUUCCUCCAACUUCUAUUUCGAUGACAAAAAUGGUUCUACAGAUUAGAAUCACCUUUCUUUUUAAGAUAGGUACUGCAAGAUUAUAAAGAGUUCUGCUAAAUUAUUGCAAGACCUAGUAAUGGAAUAACGAUGUCAAUUUUUGCAGAUUGUCUGGAAUCUUUUCUCUUCAUGAGAUAAGAAUUGAUUGACAGGAUUGGAAAGAAUUAUACUUAAGCGAAAAUCGAAAAAUUACUCAUCAAUUAGUGACACUAACCAAACUUCCGACGCAGAACAAGAAGAAUGGACGUCAACGAAUGGAAAAGAGAAACAUAGUUUACGUUCAAGAAUAUAGUUGGUUUCUGCAAGUUUUCCGUUAUAUACUAUGAAUGUAAGAGCCUUUUUAAGUUAAAUAUUAAGUUUAUUUUCUGAUAAUUUAUUAAAUUUAUAUAAAUUGCAAAGAA